rnacentral:misc_RNA from 1 species
UGAUACCAGGGUCAAAAGGUCAUGUUUUUCAUGCUUGCAUGAAAAAGCAUGACUUUGGGACCCGCAUCAUUAAUAAUUGUAUUACAAUAAAUAUAAUUAUGCAAAAAAUACAUGCAUCA